UUAACAGAUAGCUCUAACGGAUGCUAAAUGGAUGACAGGUCCAUGACGUCACAUCCGGCUUUAGUGACCAUUUGGCGACUUGAAGACAAAUGCUCGCUUAAAAGCUUUUUAAGAUGUUUAUCCCAAACUCUUAUAGAUAAUCACUGCAAAGGCAACCUUCAGUAGAAACUGUCAUCUAGUCUUUCAAGAAAGCAUGAUUGAGACUGUUGAAAGCUUUGCACGACACGGAAGAGUAAAAGCGGUGUAAUGCCUGGCAGGAUUUUAAUGUCAAGAUCAGCAAAAUAUAGAAAAACAGAACGAAAAAGGAAAUGGAAAGGAAGGGAAGUGGAACAACUGGAACGUAAUUAUAACACGCAUGGUUAAAGAUUUCCUGUUUGCAGCUGGGAUGUAUCCGUUUUUUUUAAAAUUUAUUUAAUUUUUUUUGUUGAACGAUUAUAAUAAACUCAAACUUGAUUGCUUUUGUGCGA